UUAGACUGGGUAUGCUAUGUACACUCUCGACGUCUGUGUGCGCCGCAUCUUUUCAUCGGAAAGAACGUAUUUAUUUCAGAAACACAAGUUAUCGUCUUGGACCAAUAAAGAAUUAUCCUAGACUUACCGUCGCUGCUUUGGAUGCUACUGGCGAGGAAGAUCCAAUCGUUUCGGGAACUUUCUUCAUUUCUUUUGCGAAUCCGUCGUGCUUCCUUUUGACAACAAGGGUGCAGCAUGAGAAUUCAUCAUGUUCACUCUGGCAAGCCCAUACAACUUCACGAAGUGUUCGCGAAGCCUGUGAUUGGGCAUACGAAGCAGCGUGCAGUUUGUAUGCGGGGCGCAAAUAUAAGUAUCGAUCAAAAAGGUGCGACUCGAAGGUAAUUACAAAUCAAUGAGAACAUCGGAUAGAUACGUGUCAUUAUUGCUGCACCGCCAAAAAUAUGGCUGCAUUAUUUCAAACAUGGUUUCAUUGAAAAUGAGC